CUCCUCCGAUUGAUUGGAAUCGGAGAAGGACCGUUGGGGUCAACUGC
rnacentral:ncRNA from 1 species